UGCUAGUAUCUUUGAUAGUAUUUGCAAGUUUGCUGCAAUACAAGGCGACAUCAUCUUCAUUUUACUAAAUUCAGAAUGCUAUCUUAUGUAUUUGCAAAGAUGGCAUCAUAAUGAUGAAGUGCUGCAGAUACAGUACUGUUUUUCUUUCCUCAUGCAAACUGUUUAUGUUGUUUUAGUUUCUAAUCUUUUAAUUGAUUGAAAGAUGUUGCAACUGCAGGAUGGUGAUGUCAAAAUGGCAGAUGCCGCAACAGCAAAGACUGAAAAGAAGGCAGUAAUUUUCUUAACUAUGCGACUAUGAUGCUUUUUUCGACUCUAUAUUACAGAACCUUACAGUCAUAUGCUAAAUUGAUACAGGCUAAAACACCUGCAACUCCUGGUGCCCAGACUUCUGGUCAAAAACCCUAUUGUUGGCAAACUAUCCUAUUCUGUCAAAAGAGCUGAUGUGUAAGAUUUCUUCAAAGGUGCUGGUGAAGUAGUUGACGUCCGAUUUGCAUCAAAUGAAGAGGGUGUCUUCAAGGGAUUCGGCCAUGUUGAGUUUGCCACUGAGGCAGCAGCUCACAAGAGUUGUCUUGUUAUUCAAUCAUCUAAGUUUCAGGUGUCCGGUUACCAACUAAAUUGUUAUUCAAACUGCUUUGGAUUUCGUGCUCAUCCACGACAGCCUUUCUGCUUUUGCUACAUCACACACGGUAAGGGUCAUGCGUGCUGAAAUUGAUAUGGUUUUCUUGGUGCAUGCAUAUGCAGCCGCCUGGUUUUUGGUUGUUCCGUCACAUUGGCCUUUCUACUCACAACCGACUUCUACUAUGGCAGUGGUACAUGCUGUGAUCAAUCCUUCUAUCAGAUCUGCCAAAGUUUCUCUAAGAGGACUCUCCCAAGAACAGAGAUUUCCUGGGUGCAUUCUGGGACAAGGCAGCAUGUAAAAGAUUUCUGCAUUCAAAGUCAAGUGCCUGAGUCACAAGCAAAUUCCUCCCUUUAACCAAGAUGGAUGAUUAUUUAUGCAUCCACUAAUUAGGUGGCAUGAGGAUCUCAACGAGCAUACCAGAUGAAAAAGGACCGAAUCACCUGGAACAAGCCUCUUUGCACUUACACACUCCAUCCAGUUGCAAGAAGAUGUUGCUUGGGCUGACCUGCAUCAGAAAUGGAAUUAACAAAUGCCAAAUCCAGAAGUUUGUGAUUGGGGCUUGACAAAGAAGAAAAGUGGCAGUGAAACUGCACCCAAAAAGCCUCAAAUUGGAACACCGUCGCCAUUACCGACUUUUAAGGUUCAAAAAGAGAGAUUAGGAGACAGAAUCAUUCCACUCCAGCAACUGGUUUCACUUUUCGGAAAGGUUUUAACUACACCAUUCAUGAAAAAUGAUGUUCCCAUUCAACACCAGCAGAAUUCUGAUAAAUCAAAUGGCUCAGAUGGACCGAAACAAGAUCUUUGAAGCCACGGGCUGUGUGUAGUUCCAAUGACAAGCACCUUCUCAGUUACUAAUGAGAUUGGAGCUGAUUUUUCGACAUCUAUGUUUGGAGGAAUUUCACAGUUUUGAGGAACUGAUUGCUGCAAUUUAACCAAACCCAAUGACAUUUAGCAUAGAUUUAAUUAUUGCAUCAACGUUCUUCUUAAGAUUGCCUUUUAUAUGGAAUUGGGUAUCAUAUAUAGAAUUAUUUUUUUAUGGAGAUACAAAUUUUAUA